GUUAAACUCACACCCCCAUCUUUGGUGCACACCUGAACCCACUGAGCGCCCCAUACGCUCGUAUAAACUUCACAUAAUGCUGUAUUUGGACCAUAGCAUAUUUGUUCCGAUUGCCCGCAUUAUUCUUCUGACUGAUUGGCCAACUGUGCCAGAACACAGUCUCACACUGAAUGCCAUCUAUACACAUGAAAACAUUUUUACAAAAUAUUUGCUGAAGGUAAGUAUAAUUUUAUGGAUACAUUGUCAUAUAUUUAUUUUUAGAUUCUUAAAUAGAAGGACAAUCACCAUGGAUUUUCUAAAUUGACUUUCUUGAGUCAGUUUUACACAGAAUGCAGACAGCUGCUCUUCUGUCUGCAUCUGUUCAAUGUUGGCCUGUUCUUCAACUUCUUGCUGCUGUUGCUGUUGCAGUAUGAUUUCCCGUAACUGACGCAGCUCUCUUAUGACUUCAUCAAGUUUUCUAUUAAGUGUGAGGUAAUCUGAAAAAAAUAGUAAUGUUUGCUUUGCCAGGUACGAUAUAACAGGUAAACAAAACAGCUCAAUAACAUAAAAGUAAUACUUUGCUCUUUAUCAUCAGUCCCCUGACAUCCAGUUUUACAGGACAAUGCUGAUGCUGUUACUUACUGUCUUGUGGCUUGUGCUGUUGCCUAUUCUCCUCGAAGACUGGAGCUUGUGGUCUGUUUCCAGCCAUACAUUGGAAACGAGGACGCUUUGGUGUGACCAAUUCUUGUCGCUUUCAAAACGACUUGGUCGCUUGUGUGCUCUUUUUUUUAUCAUUUGGGAGUCCCCAUCUGUUUCAACAUUUGAAAGCUCCUCGGCACGUUUCA